UAGGGAAUCUUCCGCAAUGGACGCAAGUCUGACGGAGCAACGCCGCGUGAGUGAAGAAGGAUUUCGGUUCGUAAAACUCUGUUGUUAGAGAAGAACAGCGCAUAGAGUAACUGUUAUGCGUGUGACGGUAUCUAACCAGAAAGCCACGGCUAACUACGUGCCAGCAGCCGCGGUAAUACGUAGGUGGCAAGCGUUGUCCGGAUUUAUUGGGCGUAAAGCGAGCGCAGGCGGUCAAUUAAGUCUGAUGUGAAAGCCCCCGGCUCAACCGGGGAGGGUCAUUGGAAACUGGUUGACUUGAGUGCAGAAGAGGAGAGUGGAAUUCCAUGUGUAGCGGUGAAAUGCGGAGAUAUAUGGAGGAACACCAGUGGCGAAGGCGACUCUCAGGUCUGUAACUGACGCUGAGGCUCGAAAGCGUGGGUAGCAAACAGG
rnacentral:rRNA from 1 species